UACGUAGGGGGCUAGCGUUGUCCGGAUUUAUUGGGCGUAAAGAGCGUGUAGGCGGCCAGGUAGGUCUGCUGUGAAAACUCGAGGCUCAACCUCGAGACGUCGGCGGAAACCAUCUGGCUAGAGUCCGGAAGAGGAGAGUGGAAUUCCUGGUGUAGCGGUGAAAUGCGCAGAUAUCAGGAAGAACACCAGUGGCGAAGGCGGCUCACUGGACCGGUUCUGACGCUGAGGCGCGAAAGCGUGGGGAGCAAACGGG
rnacentral:rRNA from 1 species